rnacentral:rRNA from 1 species
UUCGCAAUGCCCGAAAGGGUGACGAAGCGACGCCGCGUGUGGGAAGAAGGCCUUCGGGUUGUAAACCACUGUCGGGAGUUAGGAAGUGCAGGAGCGUUAAUAGCGUUUUUGCUUGACUAAGGCUCCAGAGGAAGCCACGGCUAACUCUGUGCCAGCAGCCGCGGUAAUACAGAGGCGGCAAGCGUUGUUCGGAAUUAUUGGGCGUAAAGAGCACGUAGGCGGCCUUGCAAGUCAGUUGUGAAAGCCUUCCGCUCAACGGAAGAAUGCCAGCUGAUACUACAGGGCUUGAGUACGGGAGGGGAGAGUGGAACUUCUGGUGGAGCGGUGAAAUGCGUAGAUAUCAGAAGGAACGCCGGCGGCGAAAGCGGCUCUCUGGCCCGUAACUGACGCUGAGUGUGCGAAAGCUAGGGGAGCAAACGGGAUUAGAUACCCCGGUAGUCCUAGCCGUAAACGAUGGGCACUAAGUAGAGGGGUUUU